rnacentral:lncRNA from 1 species
AACUGCAGUGAGAAGGGGUUUGUUUGUUUYCUUUUUAAAUGUUAUCCUUCCUUCCUCCUCCUCCUUUUUAAUGAAGAUGUAUUUAUACAAAAACUCACCCCGUGUUGAGCAUGGCACAUGGACAGGUUGGCCACUUUGGACUACUUUUGCAACAAUGGAUUCUGCUGGACUGAUAUUGAAACCAUGGGACAGACCUCAGGSAGCUGUUUGGCAGCACUUCCUCACUUAAGCUGACGAGUUAACUGCCUUUGCAAGAAGGGUGUUGGAGGAUUCUUCCAGGGGAUGCUUGAGAGCAGAAACCCACUACGAGGACUCCCUUCCUCUCUGUGCCAGCGUCUCAUCCCACAGCGUACAGGGAGAACGCAGAAGCUACCAGGGGUAUUUUCGGCAUUGCUCGUCUGACUUUGGAAUACAAGGAGUGUCGGCUCUGGUGUCUGCUGGCUUCAGCGAGGGCUGGUGGGCGUCCGGGCAGCCCGUUACUGUCUGGGUUCCAGACRGUCAUGAAGAUCCUGGGUAUGACCUGUGGAUGCUGUCACUGAAAAAGGGAAAACUUGGGGAGCUUUUGAAGAGCUUCCUGAUUAUAACUAAAGCUCAACCCAGAUCCUGGAGAGACCCGAGCAUCCUUGCUUGCGCGCUCUAUCGAAUUUGCUCUGCAGAAGUUCAAGGUUUAAAGGCUUAUGUGAGAGACCUGCGUGGGGACUCUGCCUUCUGCUCCCGGCUCUGCCGCUGCUUCAGCCGAAUGGUCUUGAGUAAGUGAUUUUAUUUCCCUGUACAUGAGUUUCUCAGUUUCUAAAAUAGCAAUAAUAAUGUUUUGUCUCCCUGGUCAAGUGUUUUGUUCUCAAUGGAUGGAAAGUACUAUGUUGUAAGGUCCAUAUGUUAUUGUUGUCGUUACCAUCAUUCUUCUUCAAGAGUAAAUGCUGAGGUUCUGAGUAGUAAAUAUGGAAUACCUGGACUCAAGGUUUUUGG